rnacentral:rRNA from 1 species
AGUGAGCGGCAAGAGCUCAGAUUUGAAAUCGCCUCGGCGAGUUGUAAAUUGCAGGUUGGAGUCUUUGUGGCGGCGUGUGUCUAAGUCCCUUGGAACAGGGCGCCAUUGAGGGUGAGAGCCCCGUGCGGCACGCGUCUAAGCUUUAAGACCCUUCUGACGAGUCGAGUUGUUUGGGAAUGCAGCUCUAAGUGGGUGGUAAAUUCCAUCUAAGGCUAAAUACUGGCGAGAGACCGAUAGCGAACAAGUACUGUGAAGGAAAGAUGAAAAGCACUUUGAAAAGAGAGUGAAACAGCACGUGAAAUUGUUGAAAGGGAAGGGUAUUGGGCUCGACAUGGGGACUGCGCACCGUUGCUUCUUGUAGGCGGCGCUCUGUGCGGUUUCUGGGCCAGCAUCAGUUUUUGCCGCGGGAGAAUGGGGGGAGGAACGUGGCUCUUCGGAGUGUUAUAGCCUCUCUCAGAUGCCGCGAGCGGGGACUGAGGUCUGCGAUUCGUUCAAGGAUGCUGGCACAACGGCGCAAUACCGCCCGUCUUGA